UUUCCGUAGGUGAACCUGCGGAAGGAUCAUUAUUGGAUUUUGAAACUUCAGGCUGCUGCUGGCUCUCCUCGGAGGGCAUGUGCACGCUUGUUGUCCAUUAUUUCUCCCACUGUGCGCAAAUUGUAGACCUUUCAGUAGGCCUAUGUUGUUUUUCACAAUCUCUGAAUGUAAUAGAAUGGUUUUGAAUCUUGGGAAAUACAAUACAACUUUCAGCAACGGAUCUCUUGGCUCUC
rnacentral:misc_RNA from 1 species